rnacentral:rRNA from 1 species
ACAUGCAAGUCGAGCGAAUCUUGAGGUGCUUGCACCUCUUGGUUAGCGGCGGACGGGUGAGUAACACGUGGGCAACCUGCCUGUAAGACUGGGAUAACACCGGGAAACCGGUGCUAAUACCGGAUAAUCCUUUCCCUCUCAUGAGGGAAAGCUGAAAGUCGGUUUACGCUGACACUUACAGAUGGGCCCGCGGCGCAUUAGCUAGUUGGUGAGGUAACGGCUCACCAAGGCGACGAUGCGUAGCCGACCUGAGAGGGUGAUCGGCCACACUGGGACUGAGACACGGCCCAGACUCCUACGGGAGGCAGCAGUAGGGAAUCUUCCGCAAUGGACGAAAGUCUGACGGAGCAACGCCGCGUGAGCGAUGAAGGCCUUCGGGUCGUAAAGCUCUGUUGUUAGGGAAGAACAAGUACCGGAGUAACUGCCGGUACCUUGACGGUACCUAACCAGAAAGCCACGGCUAACUACGUGCCAGCAGCCGCGGUAAUACGUAGGUGGCAAGCGUUGUCCGGAAUUAUUGGGCGUAAAGCGCGCGCAGGCGGUCCUUUAAGUCUGAUGUGAAAGCCCACGGCUCAACCGUGGAGGGUCAUUGGAAACUGGGGGACUUGAGUACAGAAGAGGAAAGCGGAAUUCCACGUGUAGCGGUGAAAUGCGUAGAGAUGUGGAGGAACACCAGUGGCGAAGGCGGCUUUCUGGUCUGUAACUGACGCUGAGGC